GAUGAACGCUAGCGGCAGGCCUAAUACAUGCAAGUCGAACGGUGUCUUCGGACAUAGUGGCGCACGGGUGCGUAACACGUAUGCAACCUACCUUACAUUGGGGGAUAGCCUUUCGAAAGGGAGAUUAAUACCGCAUAAGACAGUAGCUGGGCAUCCAGCAGCUGUUAAAGAUUUAUCGAUGUAAGCUGGGCAUGCGUCCAAUUAGCUAGUUGGUGAGGUAACGGCUCACCAAGGCAAUGAUUGGUAGGGGAACUGAGAGGUCAAUCCCCCACACUGGCACUGAGAUACGGGCCAGACUCCUACGGGAGGCAGCAGUAGGGAAUAUUGGACAAUGGGCGCAAGCCUGAUCCAGCCAUGCCGCGUGUGUGAAGAAGGCCUUCGGGUUGUAAAGCACCUUCAGUAGGGAGGAAGCGUUGUGUGUUAAUAGUACACAGCGUUGACGUUACCUACAGAAGAAGCACUGGCUAACUCUGUGCCAGCAGCCGCCGUAAUAC
rnacentral:rRNA from 1 species